UGAAUAUGUUAGGUGUGCUCAUAUAAACUUGUGAUGAAGAAAGUUUAUAUGAGCACACCUAACAUAUUCA
rnacentral:miRNA from 1 species